rnacentral:rRNA from 1 species
GAUGAACGCUGGCGGCGUGCCUAAUACAUGCAAGUCGAGCGAAGCGGGGACGGGUGAGUAACACGUGGAUAACCUCCUAUAAGACUGGGAUAACUUCGGGAAACCGGAGCCAAACCGGAAACUUAUAGAUGGAUCCGCGCUGCAUUAGCUUGUUGGUAAGGUAACGUCUUACCAAGGCAACGAUUCAUAGCCGACCUGAGAGUGUGAUCGGCCACACGGGAACUGAGACACGGUCCAGACUCCUACGGGAGGCAGCAGUAGGGAAUCUUCCGCAAUGGGCGAAAGCCUGACGGAGCAACGCCGCGUGAGUGAUGAAGGUCUUCGGAUCGUAAAACUCUUUUAUUAGGGAAGCGGUACCUAAACAGAAAGCCACGGCUAACUACGUGCCAGCAGCCGCGGUAAUUC